UGGGGAAUAUUGGACAAUGGGCGAAAGCCUGAUCCAGCCAUGCCGCGUGUGUGAAGAAGGUCUUCGGAUUGUAAAGCACUUUAAGUUGGGAGGAAGGGCAGUAAGCGAAUACCUUGCUGUUUUGACGUUACCGACAGAAGAAGCACCGGCUAACUCUGUGCCAGCAGCCGCGGUAAUACAGAGGGUGCAAGCGUUAAUGGGAAUUACUGGGCGUAAAGCGCGCGUAGGUGGUUCGUUAAGUUGAAUGUGAAAGCCCCGGGCUCAACCUGGGAACUGCAUCCAAAACUGGCGAGCUAGAGUAGGGCAGAGGGUGGUGGAAUUUCCUGUGUAGCGGUGAAAUGCGUAGAUAUAGGAAGGAACACCAGUGGCGAAGGCGACCACCUGGGCUCAUACUAACACUGAGGUGCGAAAGCGUGGGGAGCAAACAGG
rnacentral:rRNA from 1 species